AAUGGGAGGGAUUCCUUACCGAUCACGAAAACGGCGAGGACGACAAAAAGGGACGCGAAAAGAGAAGAUCGCGCUUCCCGAUAUCUUGUGUCACUUCUCAUCGUGUCUCCUCGUAUUCUCGGCAACCGGAAUUUAUACACACAUACGCGGUUCACGGUUCACUGCUCCGUGUUCAUAUUAACACUUCCUCUGCUCCCCCUCCGCGGUGUGUGUCACACCUAUCCACGGCGAUUCAUUUCGACCGGACGAGAAGAGGGGGGAGGGCGAAAAGAGAAGAAAGAAAUCAAAUUUGAAAGAUAGAUUCAUUUUUGAUUCUUUACAUCUAAAAAAAACCCUCCACAUUUGUGUGAUAUUUUUGUGUAACAUCUCUUGAAACAGUUUACAUGAUUUACUUGAUAUACGAAAUCCUGUUUUUACGAAACAU